UACGUAGGUGGCAAGCGUUGUCCGGAAUUAUUGGGCGUAAGCGCGCGCAGGUGGUUUCUUAAGUCUGAUGUGAAAGCCCACGGCUCAACCGUGGAGGGUCAUUGGAAACUGGGGAACUUGAGUGCAGGAGAGAAGAGUGGAAUUCCACGUGUAGCGGUGAAAUGCGCAGAUAUCAGGAGGAACACCGGUGGCGAAGGCGGUUCUCUGGGCCUUACCUGACACUGAGGAGCGAAAGCGUGGGGAGCGAACAGG
rnacentral:rRNA from 1 species